AUGGAGAUGAGGUAGGGAUAUUUAAGGAAAGGGAUACUUUAGAGUCCAAGCUGUCUCCAAAUAGAGACUUUCAAAAAGGGAAUCAGAAGACUGGAAAAUGUCUAAUUCCCACAAUAGUGGUCAAUUCCUCUGAAUCCCCAGUGACAGAUGACACUGAAGAACAAUCAUCUGUGUCUCAGGAACCCCCUUCAGUGGUUGUUUCACCUGUGGACACCUGGGAGGAUGAGGGUCUGGACUCAGACGAUGACCACAGCUCUGUCUCCAGCUAUGGGUCUGACUUCUCUGCUAGAAGAGGUUAUGACUC